rnacentral:lncRNA from 1 species
AUUUCUUUUUUUCGAGGCGAAUUUGACACAAAAUAUCUAAACUCAAUUCUCCCCUUUGAAUAGAGGAUAUAGCAAUUUCUCUUGGAUUUAUUAGUCUAAGUAGGAGACAAUAUAUUUUGAUAUUAUUGAUCAUUCUUUGAUUUAAAGAAUCAUCCCAUCUCUCCUUCUUUACUGAGUGAACGAGAAAGUUCUUUUUUUAGUUAUCGGACUUACGCUUAUCUGAAGAAUGGAUCUAAGAAUGAUGAUCCGCCCUGUGGGCCCAUAUAGAUAUCGUCUGCUAAUACACGACCAAUUAAUGUUUGAAUAAAAAUUCUUUCCGGCAUCAUCCCAUUUCGAGGACUCACAGAAACCCCUCGGAUGGUUCCACAAUCUGUUCUGCGUACAACAAUGUGUUGUACUACUUCAACAAGUCUGCGCGUAAGAUAUCCAGCAUCUGAUGUUCGUACAGCAGUAUCCACAACUCCUUUGCGGGCUCCGUAGCAAGAAAUGACAAUUAAAAUAAUGACUUGGCGUGUUUUCUUCAUAUUAGAAACACCCGAUAAAAAUAAUCGUGUGUGGAUACACAGUCAAUUUGAAUCAGAAAAAUUGAUAUCAUCUAUUUUAAAAUCCCAUUGUUUGAUAUAGUCUUUAAAACCAUUUUUGGUGUCAAAACCCGACACCCAGGAUUUUCUAAUUAAAUAUUAAAAUUUCACAAUUUUGGAAUAAAUAACCAAAAUUCCAAUCACCACUCAAUUUGCACAAAUUAACACUCAAUUGUAUAAACUAAGCACACCAUUGCAAUCAGCAUGAAAUUUCGAUCACCGGCUAUCCUGAUAUAAUUUCUGGAAAAUAUAAAAAUAAUUAAAUAAUACAAUUUAAAUACAAUAAAUACCAACUUAUGCCAGAAAUGUUAAUCUAACCACCUAAACAAGCCUAGAAAAUUUUUGAACAUAUCUAGAUAAAUAAUACAAUUUAUCCAACUCUUAAUCAAUCUGUUUUAACCACCUAACAUGCAUAAUUAAGCGAUUAAAUCACUAAUCUAAACUAACUAACCACAUAAUCCCUAAUUAGCUUAAAAUAAUUAUCCACUAAGCGUCAUUAACUCUCUAAACAAAGUUUAGCAAGUAAACUUAUCAGUUUAGUGGGCCAGUGAGUCCACAGCGAUGGUGACAUGGAGGUGAGCAAUAAACAAGCCUGCGGCGACACCAACGGAGGUUCGGACGAGCCUUAAAAUGGGCCACAAGCUCUUAGCUAGGGGUUAAGCUUCGACUUUUGCUUCUUGGGUCGAGAAGGCUACUCAAGCGGUUGGAAGCGGCAAUGAGGGAUGGCGAUACUGUAGCGGGGCUAGGUGAGUGACAGCAAUGGCUCCGGCUAGACGGCGAUGAACGGUGAUCAGGUGACUCGCGGGACUUGCGAGCAGACACGGAUGACGGCGCAAGAUGGUCUGACGACGGGAUGGCGAGCAGAAGGUGCUAACUUAGGGAACGUGCGUACGGGCUCGCAGGUGACGUGCAGUAGGUCCCGUGGCUUAGGAGAUGGUCGACAGUGAGAGGGGGAAGUGUGCUGGCUAUUCUCUGGUUUCUUGAGCUCAAAAUUUGCACAACAAUGGAGAAAUUAGCCUAAAUGAAGAAGAAGAAGGAGGCCGCCGAAGCAAGGGGGCCAUAAAAUAUCCCAAGACACUUGAGUUUGGUGCCCCACCAACCUUGGCUGGCAUCCUCAGCCAAAUUGCAGCCUUCAGGCUUCCCAAUGGGUCCAAAAGUGGCUACACCCCCUUGACUAUGAAUUUGGACAAUUUCCCUCCAAAUUUCAUUUCAAUUGCAACUUAAUUCAAUCCAAUUGAUGUCUAAUAAUUCUAGCCAAGGUGCCCACAUUAAAUUCUUAUAAUUCCCUCACCAAAUAGUCCAACUUGACAGCAAAAAAUGCGACAAAAAACGGCCCUCUAAUUUUCCCAGUCUAAAAUAACCCAACUUCGAUUUUUCGCCGAAAUCUCGGGUUUGCAAAAAAAUCUUUGGAGGAUGAGUCAAUGUUCCUAAGAUGAAUCGUGACAUGACAGAACUAUCGGGUUUAAAUUUGCAGUUAAUUUUAACCAGGCGUGAUUUUAGCGUGACCUAACCUACUAGAUAGCUUUUAAGAAUUUUUAGUGUAAUUGACCCAUGGUAGAUUAUUUUCAAGCAACAUUGUGCAUUUUCGAUUUAUUGGCGACUCUCGGUUGUCAUAAAAAUCUUGAGAUUUCAAAUACAAGCACAAGGUACAUAAAUGACAGAAAAAUCAGUCUAGUGUCGUUCGACAGAAAUUUUGUAAUCAAGUGGAAUCACCUACACACUAAUCACAUACCUCUGUCGAAUUGAUUUUUCUCCGGUCUCUGAUCAAUUUUGACAAUGUCGUAUUGACCCUUGCAGAUUAGCAUGGUCGAAUAGUCGAUUUAUGGUCGAAUUCUCAAGUUUAUUGCGUUAAAAUUUCUUAAUAGCUUCAUUAGAUAGACUAGUUAUCUCGUGAGUGAUCAAAUCAGAAAAUGGAAUUAUAAGCACGUCAAUGAAAAGCCCAACUCACUCCAUUGAAAACAGAACCUGAAAAUCAGGAUGUCACAACUCUUCUCCUCUUAUAAAAAUUUCGUCAUCGAAAUUUAAAUCAUUACAAAUAUUUAAACAAAAAGGUGGGGUAUUGUCGUCUCAUCGAAUCUUCACUUUCCCAGGUUGCUCUUUCUAUGCCGUGGUGUUGCCAGACCACUUUAACCAACGGGAUUGCCUUGGUGCAUAGAACAUGUUCCUUCCAAUCUACAAUCCGAACCGAUCUUUCCACGUACAACAUCCUGUCGUCCACAUCCAAUUCUUCAAAAUUCAGCACCUGGGUCGUGUCAGGUUCAUACUUCCUCCUUAAGCUUUGCAUCGUCAAGUACACACAAUCGUCCUCGAAACCUUAGUAUUUCGUCUUCAGAAAUCUGAAAGUUAGCCUUUCUCUUUUCAGUAUCCUUUUGCAGGAUCUUCCGAAUAUCUGAGUCUGUUAACUGAAGCGUCUUGAUUUUGAUCUACACUUUCGGUUCAAUUCUGAGGGUGGCCAUAAGAUUUGAAAGGUGGCCUACCUCAAAUUUGAAAACCGAAUCUCGAGCUCUCUCGAGUAAAAUCCACUCCUUAACCAUCAUCUGUGCAACUGAAGACUUUCGACUCAAAGCGUCUACGACCUUGUUAGCCUUCCUAGGGUGAUACAAGAUGUCACAAUCAUAGUCCUUCAGAAGUUCCAUCUAGCGACGCUAUCUCAUAUUCAACUCCUUCUAAAAGAAUAGGUACUUGAGACUUUAAUGGUCUGUAAAGAUCUGGAACCUUUCUCUACACAAGUAGUGUCUCCAAAUCUUCAGAGUGAAAAUAAUUACUACGAAUUCUAAGUCAUGUGUCGAGUAAUUCAGCUCAUGAGAUCUCAACUCACGAGACGCGUAUGCAACAACUCUGCCAUGCUACAUUAACACACAACCCAGUCCUCUAAACGAUGCAUUACUGUAGAUUUCGUAUCCUUUAGGACCAUAUGAUAUGGUCAACAUUGGUGCAGUAGUCAGCUUCUAUUUAAGCUCUUGGAAACUACACUCGCACUUAUCUGUCCACACGAACUUCUCUUUGUUCUUUAACAGUCGAGUCAAUGACAAGCUAAAGCUAAAAAUCCUUCCACAGAUCUUCUGUAGUAUCCCGCCAAACCCAAAAAGCUUCUGAUCUUUGUCACUGUCAUCGGUCUUGACCAAUUGAAAGCUGUUUCGAUCUUGGUCAGGUCCAUGGAAAUUCCUUCGCCUAAAAUCACGUGACCUGGGAAAGCAACACGAGUCAACCAAAACUUGCACUUGCUAAACUUGGCGUAUAACCCAUGAUUCCUCAAAGUCUGGAGCACCAUUCUCAAAUGCCUUUCAUGCUCCUCAGGACUUCUUGAGUACACCAGGAUAUCGUCAAUGAACACGAUCACAAACUAAUCAGAUACUCCUUGAAAACUCAGUUCAUCAAAUCCAUGAAAGCAACUAGGGCGUUCGUCAAACCAAACGGCAUUACAGUGAACUCAUAAUGGCCGUAUCAAGCACGAAACGCUGGCUUCGGUACGUCCUCCUUUCUGAUCCUCAGCUAAUGAUACCAUGUCCUCAAGUCGAUUUUAGAAAAUAUCAAUGCUCCUUGCAGCUGGUCAAACAAGUCGUCGAUCAUCGGGAGUGAAUACUUAUUCUUGAUCGUCACCUGAUUGAGUUGGCGAUAGUUGAUGCACAAGCGCAACAAACCAUCUUUCUUUUUCACGAGUAGAACUGGUACUCCCCAAGGUGAUGCACUGGGACGUAUAAUCCCUUAUCCAACAACUCUUGCAUCUGCACCUUCAGUGCUUUUAACUCAGACAACGCCAUUCGGUAAAGAGCCUUAGAGAUUGGCUCUGUCCCGAGGGCUAACUCGAUUACGAACUCGAUCUCUCUUUCUUGCGGUAAACUCGGCAAUUCCUUCAGAAACACAUCUAGAAACUCUUGAACCACUGCAAUAUCUUCAAUCUUCAGCUCCUCAACUGUCGUAUCCACGACAACCGCUAAGUAACCUUGGCAACCCCCGUUUAACAAACGGGUUGCCUCAAGCUACGAGAUCAAGGUUAUCGAGAGUCCUCAUCGAUUUCUAAUAAACUCGAAGCUUUCACCCAUUAAUGGGUUGACCACUUUUCUAUCUAAGGAAUAGAAAAAAUUAUUAAAGUUAUCAAACAGAUUUUUUUUAUUUCUAGAAAAAAAAUUAGAAAAAUAGAAAUGUUAACAAACAGAGCCGAAAUGGCAACAAAAUUUGUAUUUCGUCGUCAUUUCCUAGCCUAUGGCAACAACCUUGGUUUUCGUCGGAGGAGGGAAUUGAUGGUGACGAAAUUAUUUUCAUCGUCAAAAAUUUUUGCGCCAGAGCUCUGAUUUCUUGUAAUGCUAGCGAAAUGUCUAGGAUUUCCAAAGGCAAGCUGUCCAAGGCGUAGAUCAACUGUACUAUGACAUGUUCCAUCGUAGUAUCCAUUUGAGCUAAACAAUAUGGUGCUACCGUUUUAGAAACUUUAUAACACGAAAAAAGAGGGAAGUAAGAUUGCGAAAUGCAGACAAACCCUCGAUGCACCUUUUUUCGAUAUACACCUUGUUAUAUUUCCAUUGCCCUCCUCCUAGCCCGAGGCUUGGAUCAGUCCCAUAACUGGCAGAUAUUAAUCGUGACUAUUAACGGUUUCGGGAUCACUUUUUCAAGACAAUACUUGUUGUAAGGACCGCAACGCUAAUUUAUGCAAUAGUUUUUUUUUUCUUUUAAACAUGAUAUAGGAUCUCUUAAAUGAUCCAUUUUCAGUUAAAAAAUUAAUUUCAUUUUUUCACAUCUUAAAUUAAAUUUGCAAAUCAAUCAACAUAUACAGUCCAAACAUUACCGGUCAUUAUUAAAAAAGUAAGACAUGCAUCUUUCUUUGCAUAAUAUCAGGAGCUAACAUAAAUAAAUAAAUAAAUAAAAUUCCAAAUUUAUGCACUCGUGCCAUAUUUCCCCCAAACUAAGCUUCGUGUCAUUAAAACCCUCGAACUAAUAAACUCACGCCAUAUUUACUCCCAAACCUAUUUUUGUAUAAUAAAAAAUCUCAAACUGCUACACUCAUAUUUACCCUAAACUAAUAUACAUAUGCUAGAUUUACCCCAAGUUAUGGUAAAUUUGAGAUUAUUGGAGAUAAAUAUAGCACAUUUAAAUGGGGAGAAUUACCAAAAAAGUCAUAAACUUAUUGCAAUUGUGCCAAUUCAGUCCAAAACUUAUUUUUUUGACCAAUUAAGUCACAAACCUCUUACAAUUAUUCCCGAUCAAUCCAUUCAGCCAAAAUUGGCCGGCCAGCGCUAACGAGCUUUUUUUACUAAUAUUUUAUUUUUGAAAUAUUUUAUUAAUUUUAUUUAUCUUUUUUUUUUCUCCUCCCUCCUCCCUCCUUCUUCCUUUGGCUCCGGCCAAUCACUAAACUGAGGCAGCCAGGCUAGCUUGCCUCACCGUCACUGGGUGAGGGCGAGCUCGCCCAGCCGCUAGCGGGGCGAGCCCUUGCCAGAUCCGGUGAGGGGGGCCUCACCGUCGCCGAGUCUGGCAAGGGGAGCCCCGCCGAUCGGCGAGCUCGUGCCCGGCGACAACAGGGUGAGACCCUGUCGAAUCUGGCGAGCCGAUCCGGUGGGCUUGCUCGCGCCCAGCGAUGGCAGGGCGAGGGUCGCCUGGUGAGUACUCGCCUCGUGGUCUCUGGGCGAGGCGAGCCCUCACCAAAUCCGAUGAGGGGGGCUUGCUGUCACGUUUGGCGAGGCCCUCUUCGCCGAAUCUGACAAGGGCUCGAAUUGCCCGGCGACCGCGAGAUGAGCACUCGCCAGAUCCGGCAGGGGCUCACCCUGCCAUCUCUGGGCGCGAGCUUGCCGACUUGCGAGGCGAGCCCGUCGAAGCCAAAGGAAGGAGGAGGGAGGAGGAAGAAGGAAAAGGGAGAAGGGGGAAAAAAAGAGGAAAAAGGAAAAAUAAAAUAAAAAAAAAUAAUAAAAUAUUUCAAAAAAUAUAUAUUAAAAAAAAAGGUUGCCGGCUAAUUUUUGCCAGAUUGAUUGAUCGGGAAUAAUUGUAAAAGGUUUAUGACUCAAUUGAUCAGAAAAAUAAGUUUAGGACUCAAUCGGCACAAUUACAAUAGGUUUAUGACUUUUUUGGUAAUUUUCCCCAUUUAAAUGUGGAAUGAGUGUACCAACUUGAAGUUUUUUGUGACAUAAAAAUUAGUUUGAAGUAUACAGGUGCAUCAAUUUGGGAUAAAUGUGGCAUGGGUGAAUCAAUUCAGAAGUUUUUGUGACACAAAAUUUAGUUUUAGUUAAAUGUGACAUGAGUGCACCAAUUUGGGAUUAUUUAUUAUUAACCAUAGUAUCAGAAAAUAAAAAAUAAAAAAAUCUUUUCAAGGUAUUUACUAAGAUAUAACCCACAAUAUAAUUUCAACCAGAUAUUUGGUUACAAUAGUUAUAUGUGUUAAUGUUCUCAUCGUGUCCAAAAGGAAUGACCGUUUUAUAAAAGUUACACAUUAUCGUAAGUGGCAAUGCUAACCGUAACAAGACUUUUUACUGAUAUUCAUUUACUUGAUGUAAUAGGUUUUGAUUCAGUAUAAAUGAAAUGUGAGAUUGCUGGGCUAUUUAAGUAACAAGACUUUUUGUCGUAAUGACUUCGACAUUAUUGUCCAUUACUUUAUUCCAUAGUUGAUUGCGGAACUAACAAAGAUCCGGUAACCAUGAUCACAUGAAGAUUCCUCGAAGAAAAGGACGAAUGUCACCGCGUUUGCACCAACUUCAUGAAACCACUAUAUAUAGUAGACCUACACCCCUGAACGUUUACCAUACUUGGUAAAGCUUCAAAGGAAAAUCUGAGACCAAACAAAUGGACUACGAGGUUGUUGGUCUGAUAAUUGCCCUACUGCUUUGGGUUUUGUGGGCAAUGGUGACGGAGCGCUGCCAUCGUCGCUUGGAGGAGCGAGGACGGUUGCCGCCAGGGCCACGUUGGUGGCCUGUGGUAGGAAAUAUAUUCCAACUGAGUUGGACUCCACACAAGUCGUUCGCCAACUUGGCUCGUGAGUACGGUCCAAUAAUGACUCUUUGGCUUGGCUCCAUGUGUACAGUGGUGAUCUCAUCAGACGAAGUGGCUCGCGAAAUGUUCAAGAACCAUGACGUCGUUCUUGCAGGAAGAAAGAUUUAUGAGGCCAUGAAGGGCGACUAUAGCAACGAAGGCUCGAUAAUCACAGCUCAAUACGGUCCUCACUGGCGCAUGUUGAGGCGCCUUUCCACCACCGAGUUCUUUGUUGCUAGGCGCUUAGACGCCACGGAAAGCGUCCGGAGCAGGUGCGUCGAUAGGAUGGUGCGAUUCAUAGAGGAUGCAGGAGAGUCCGGCACCAAGUCCAUUGAUGUUGGGAGAUUCUUCUUCUUGAUGGCUUUCAAUCUCAUCGGCAAUCUCAUGUUCUCCAAAGACCUCUUGGAUCCGAAGUCAAAGAGAGGGGCCAAAUUUUUUUACCAUGCCGGUACAUGUUGUCGUUGCAACUGCACAUAAUUCACGAUCAUGAUAACAAUCAGAAAGUAAAUUUAAGCAUAGAAUACGUAAGAAGAAGAGGAAAUCGUUAUUCAAACGUAAAAUAAUGUAGAUCCAUAGUAUUAUUGGUGUGAUUUCACUUUAAUCUUUUAAUUAAAUGGCCCAAAAAUCAUUGCCCGAACCCCACAUACAUGUUCUAAGUAUGAUGUAGACUUGCAAUGGACAUGAAUUCUCGUGUUUUUCACCCCCAAAAAAAAAAAAAUGGUAUGGGAGGGCUAUGGGGUCGAUUUCAAAUAAAAAAUACUAUCGCAAUCUGACAUGAGAUGCAAUUUUCCAGGUAAGGUGAUGGAGUUGGCCGGGAAGCCGAAUGUGGCGGACUUCUUACCGAUUUUGAGAUGGCUAGAUCCACAAGGAAUACGAAGGAAUACGCAAUUCCACGUCGAACGAGCGUUUGAAAUAGCGGGGCAGUUCAUCAAAGAAAGAAUGGAGAGCAUGAGAGAAGGUGAAGUUGCAGAAGAUAGGAGGAAGGACUUCUUAGACGUGUUGUUGGAAUUCCGUGGUGAUGGUGCAGAGGAGCCUUCAAAGUUUUCUUCAAGAACCAUCAAUGUCAUCGUCUUCGUAAGCUAUCUUCUCUCUCUUUUCUUGUGACAUACACAAAACAAUAUUUUUCAGGGCUAUAUUUUCUUCCGUCCUUAAUUAGAGGAAUUGUUUCCAAGGCUUAAUAUUCAUGUGUUACAAACAAGUGCAUCUAAUUAAGUUUACUUGUGAGUAAUAUCCGUAUUAGUAAUUCACUAAUUAUUCCUACUGUUGGUCGUGUGGCCACUGCUACAAUAGAUUGGAUAAACGUGCAAUGGUUUAGCCAAUACUAACUCAUAUGAUACAACAAACAAAAUUCUCAAGGUCAUACGCACGUAAAACCCUAAACACCAUGCUUCGUGGUCUCGGUGAUCCUUUGAUCCUAUUAAGACCUUUCUUGUUAUAAUUAUUGAAGUGUUGAUUGCAAACGAAUUGAGAUUACAAUCACAGAUUGAAAGCUUGAGCAAUGUUAGGAGUACUAAAGAAAUAUUAGUACAAUCUUUUUCUAUAAAUGAAUGACAAUUUUUUAUUGGGUGCUCUAAAGCCUGAUUGUCUAAGCGGUACCACUUGGUUCAACACUCACUUAGCUAAUCAUUCAAGGUAUCCGUACCACAUACUUCAGCAAUUAAUUAAAACAUGUCAUUCACGUAAUCAGUUUUAGUAUGAUUUUGCAAUAGCUUUAACAUUUUCUCUGAUCUUUUUUCAAAUUAGUCAUGUCUGUUUUUUUUCCUAUGAUAUAUACAAACUUUUGACUUAACUAAUUCUCAUGAAUGUAAACAAACCAUGUGGUCCAUAUAUCGAAAUACAGCUUCAUGCACGAGUUAGUGAAGGUUACUCCUAAGAUUACUCUGAGUGUGAGAUAUUGGGAUUUAAAUAUGAACUCUCUUGCAUCUAAACUAAGAAUUUGACUAGUCUGUCAAUUAGUGGAAGAAGUACUUUAUGUUAUUGGGUGGGUUUAAUGGUUAUGUUUACGGAGAUCAUAAAAACUUUAUAUAGACAUAAAUGAUGUGGUGAAUAAAGUCAAUCAUAGAGUAAGAACUUGUACUACCUCAUGUGCACUCUGCACAUUUUUAGAUGUUAUUAACUUGGUGAUAUACUCAACUCAUGUGAAACUUAACUCACGGUGACCCGUCUCUUUUCCCUUGAAAUAUAAUGGUCCCGUAUCUCUUAAAGAUCCGGUUAGUGAGCUGAUUACAUCAAUCAUGGUAGGUUGAACCCCCUUUUAGCCGCCAUUGGACUGAUUGUGAGUAAGCAAACAUAAGGCUUGUCCUGUAGGUCCCGAUGCUUAUGGCCCAUCGCGUUUAAUAAUGGUAGAGACUAUGUGGCAUCUUAAUCCUCAUUGCAUCAGCUUUUGUCGUAUGAAAUGAAGACCAAAACGGUAUAUAAUAAAUACGAAUUACUUCAUCAUUUAACUAGCUUUGCGCACGUCAUCGCCGAUUCUUUUGUUGGUUACCAUGAAUCAAGGAUGAUGAACAUUUUCGUUAAUAUUCUUUCCUCUUUACAAAAGAGAUCUAUGAAGUCUCUUGACAAAAAAUUCUUAAGCAUUUGAAUAUGAAACAAUUAUUUAAUAACUACAUAAAUUUCGUCACCUUAUUCUAUAUUCUUAGCUCUCUUUAUCAUGUAUAAACUCCUUUGACUAUGGCUGAGUACAUUUUACCACUCAUAUAUGUGGCUAAUGAUUUUUUGACAGGAAAUGUUCACCGCGGGGACGGACACCACCACAAGCACACUUGAAUGGGCGAUGGCUGAGCUACUCCACAACCCCCAUACCCUCGCCAAAGUCCAAUCUGAGUUGAGAAGCACCAUUGGCUUGAACCGAAAAUUCGAAGAAAAGGAUGUUGAAAUCCUUCCUUACCUCAAAGCAGUCAUCAAAGAAACCCUAAGGCUUCAUCCACCCCUACCAUUCUUGGUCCCGCACAUGGCCAUGAGCUCUUGCAAGAUGCUUGGCUACUACAUACCCAAAGAGACCCAAGUUCUAGUCAACGUGUGGGCAAUUGGAAGAGACCCCAAGACAUGGAAAGAGCCUCUGAAGUUCAAGCCGGAGAGAUUCUUGGAGCCAAACACGGCAGAUUACAAGGGACACCAUUUCGAGUUCAUUCCAUUCGGAUCAGGGCGUAGAAUGUGCCCUGCUGUGCCGCUCGCCUCUCGAGUGCUUCCAUUGGCGUUGGGGUCUCUGUUGCAUGCAUUCGAUUGGGUAUUAGCAGGCGGCACGAAGCCGGAGGAGAUGGACAUGAGUGAAAGGAUGGGUAUCACAUUAAGGAAAGCCGUUCCAUUAAAGGCAAUACCUAUUCCACAUGGAGGACAUAAUAAUCAGAGCGGUGGCCAUAUUGGAGUUGGAAACAUGUGAGUUGGUGAACUUUUCUUCAUAAAAGUGAUGGAUGAAACUUAUAAGGUCCUUUUAUUGUGGAGUUACUAGAAUGAAGAGGAAUACUAGGUAAUUCCGUUGUCCUAUUUCAACUUCACCGUAGAAGUUGAAACAUGUGUUUGUAUUUGACUGUAUCUAUCUGACUCGUGUUAGAACAUGAGUAUUUGUAUCAGACAAGUUCACUGAAUGCGAUGCAUAUGGAACGAUUAGUGACAUGGAAGCUUUUAGCGUGGUCAAUGUCUAAUUUUUCAUGCUUUGGUCUUGUGUAAAUAAUCCUUAGACUUGAGGCACAAUGUUAACUUGUGUGUCGAACAACUAUGAUUCACAGGUGCAUGUAAUGCCAGGUCGUUGAUCCGUCUUUAUACCUGAUAGUCAUAGUUUGUUCAUAUAUGAAGUUACAGGUGUACGCAAUAUAGAAUCUGUCUCCUUGUUACAUGCAAGGCAUAAUAAUAAUGUCCUAUGCAAUCUAAUUAUGACAAUGCAUUGAAAUCCUCAACCGAGGUUAUAAUCAAGAAUAAAUUGUUUAUGUCUUGAAUAAAAUGCAUGUCAAUUAGAUUUGUGCAUAUGAUCGAAUUGAUGACUUGAUAAAUAUUUCAUGGUUUUUGUUUGAUCAGGAUAUAGUAAGACAGAAUGAUUGAAUUUCACUGUAACCAAAGCUGACAAGUUCAUUAUAUUCAUAAAACAAUCACACUAUCUAGGUAGCCAUGACAUAUUCCUAGAUGUCAAUCAUGGCUUGUAGGACCCAAAGAUUAAUCGGGACAAUUAAUUUUUCUAGGAGUACUAAUGUAUUAGUACAAGUCUUACUAUCAACUUAGUGAUGAACCUAGGGAUGUCACACACCAUAAACAAUUAGGAUAACAUGGAACAAGAGAGAGAAAUAAUGAGAUUUAAUUUAAUUUGUAUUAUAGUCAUGAGCCUACGUGCAUAUGAUGCACACGCAUGCCCAAAGUAAAUAUAUGUUAAUGUAUUCCAAAUGCACACAUAAAGAUUGUGUCCGUUUUAUUUUUAUUUAUAUCGCUUUACGAUAGUAGUCCAUCUUAGCUCGUUGCUUGGUGAGCCAGUCCAUGCCAAUUAUCACAUCAAAAUCAUACAUGGCUAGGACUAUCAAAUCUAUCUUCCCCUCUCGCUCACCAAUCAUUAACUUGCAACUAAGACAACCCACUGCAGCUAACACCUUAUCCUUUAAUAGUGUAGAUAUGCUAACCAUUGACUCCAACAUUUCAGGACUCAAUCCUACUAGCUUAAUAAAUUGCUCAUCUAUAAAUGAAUGAGUUGCACCAGGAUCAAAUAAAGCAUAAGUAGCAUGGUCAUUCAACGAGAUUGUACCUAUGACCACACCAGGCGAGUCCUCAGCCUGUCCUUUAGUGAUAGUGUACGUCCUUCCCUGAGUUGGAGGCUUGUUCAGUCCACCCCGUGGCAUGUUCUGAGGCGCAAACCCCCUAUUCUAACCCAUUGGUGGCGGCGGCAGUAACUGAUGUAGUCCCAUCAGUCUUCUGGGACAGUCUCUGGCCUGGUGACCCUGCUAGCUACACUCAAAGCAAGCACCCAUCCCAAAAUGGCACAGGGCCGAUCCAUGUUGCCUUCCACAGAAGCGACACGCGCCAUUCUGACUCGGCGCUAACUUUCCAAUCACACCUUCCUAUUAGAUGGGACAUGAUACAUUCCUCCAGUCAUGGGCUUCUUCCCGAACUGGUUUCCAUCUUUAUUCGAAUUGAACCUCAAUCCAGACGAGGCGGCUUGCUCACUUAGAUUCCUCUUUAUCAACUAGGCCCGACCAUAUAGCUCAUUGUAAUCCUUCAGGUCGAAUGGCACUAGCGGAUUCUUCAACUCUGAUCGGAGGCCGUUCCUAAACCUCCUAGCUUUGUCUUCAGGGUCUUCCACCAAUCUAGGAGCGUACUGCGACAACUCCACAAAUUUAGCUUCAUACUGAUCUACUGUCAGCAUCCCUUGAUGGAGGCGUUGGAAUGCCUCAAUCUUCUGCUCUCGGGCUCUACUAGAAAAAUACUUGCCGUUAAAGGCUCUGAGGAAAGCGUUCCACACUGGGACCACGUUUUUUGGGAAUACCAUGUCUUUGGUGGCUCUCUACCAAGCACUGGCAUUACCCUGCAGUUGAUAUACUGCCAGGACAACUUUCUCCUCCUCAGUGCACAUCAGAAGUGCAAAGGCUUUUUCCAAGUCAUAGAUCCAGAGUAAUGCAGCUUCAGGAUCUCCUGUGCCUGUGAACCUUGGCGGGUUCAGCUUCAAGAACUACUCCACUAACUUGUGUGUUGACAUCUAAAUUUUACAAUUUUAUUGUGUACAAAAUUAGAAAUUAGUCACUAAAAAAAACAAAAACAAAAAUAUAAAAACAACAAAAAAAGAAAAAAAUGUGGAAAGGGGUUGAGCCGGUUCUCGCCUUGGCCCGGCCCAUGCCACCUUCUCCCUCAUCCAUCUUUGCACAGGAAACCCUAGAGAAAAAGGGAGAAGAAAAACAGGAAACAGGAGAGAGAGGAGUGGAGAGAGAGGGAGGUCCUAUCGACGCACCUGCUCCGGACGCUUUCCGUGGCGUCUAAGCGCCUAGCAACAAAGAACUCGGUUUUGGGGGGGGGGGGGGGGGGGGAGGGGAAGGAGGAUGGCGGCCGAGGAGAGAGGACUCACCGCCUCAACCCGUCCGAGUUGAGCCGCCGCCCUCCUGCCCGACGCCGUUCGAACCGCCGACGGCACACUGCUGCCUUCGAGCGUCAACGCCUGCCCUUGCACCUUCGCCACCACCGUUGUUGGUUUGCUUCUCUCCUCUGCUGGACUGCCACCACAGCAGCACCUCUACACAAGUACCCUCCCGCAACGCCAAAACCGGUCACUGAGCCACCGCGUCUCCGCCAGUCACCACUGAGUCCCAACAACGGAAGAUUUGAGUUGGUCGUCGCUCCACCGCCAAGAGAGCCCGCACCGACCGCACCACCGCGAUGCUGCUCCUAGCCGCGUCUCCGCUAGUCACUGCCGUGUCUUGUCUCACCGAGCCAUCGCGCGCCUCAGCAGUGUCUCCGCCCGUCACCGCCAUUAACACCACCAGUUCCUACCUCUGUAGCAUCUACUAUUGUGUUGCCGCCACCAUCCGUUGCCACCAUCCGUCGCCAUCACCACCAAGAAACCUUAGGGUUCGGCCAAAAAACAGGUUACGUGGGUCACAAACUGAGUAGGGUUUUUAAGCUAUUUUGACCGGUUUUGGGUUUAGGCUAUUUUGCUUGUGGGCUUGUUGGCUUUAUUUUAAAAAAAAAAGUUAGAGAGGACUAGGCCUGCGAGGGGGAGCCCGCUACGAAAAGAAACUAGGCCCGGCCACCUUUGGCCGAGCCAUCUCUCAAAUGGGGUUGGGCCCGUCUACGGGCGAACGGGCCCGUCUACGGGCGAACCGGCCCGCCUUCCCAGCCGGACUGAACCCAGGUCCGAUCUCUGACCGAACCCGACCCGGCCCGGCGAAAAUAAUAUUUUAUUUUAUUUUAAAUAAAAUUUAAAAAAUAAAAAUUUCGAAAAUUAUAAAAAGUUUAGGGUUUGGUUAGGAAUUACCAGGUCUUGCUUUCUUAGUGUAAUUAGGCAUUUAUUUGCUAGUCUAUUGAUUAUAUCAUAUGUUUAAUUUGCAUAUUUAAUUAUGUCAAUUUUACUGCAAUUAGAAUUUUGGUAGCUAUGAUUGUUAUUUUAAUGAUUGUGCACUCACAUGAUUAGGGGUGUGCAUGGUCCGAGCGGGCGGUUCCCGACCUAGAACCGGGAACCGCCCGCUAAGGAUUGGUUCCGAAAAAUUGGAACCGGGAUCCACCCGUUUGUUGCGUGGAUCCACCCGAGAACCAGACCGUCAGUCUGGUCCGGUUUCCGGGUGGAUCCAUGGAACCGAUCUUGACGCAAAACAAUUUUGGUUUUCAACAUAGAACGAUUACGUGAUAUCAAAGCAAGCCAAAGAAAGAAAAACCAAAUUUAAGUACGUGGAGAUGCGGACGGCGGGAGAAGUAAACGCAAUGAAAUGGUGAUAGGAUUAUGAGCCGAAGACGAAAGGAGUGAGAUGAGAUAUAGGAUUUCUUUUAGUAAUUUUUUUUUUAAUAUUAAAAAGGUUCCGGUCUGGUCCGGGUGGGCGGGCGGGCGGAUCCACCCAUGGAACCAGGAACCGGACCGGUUCCCUCAAGAACCACCGGUUCCGGGCGGUUCCGGUCCGGUUCCGGGCGGUCCAGGCGGUUCCCGGGUAUUUUGCACACCCCUACACAUGAUCACCUCUAAUGUCACGCGGUGUAUGGGCUUGGGAGAGCUCGUGCCUAAUCAUGGGCCUUAAGCCCAUCUUUUAGGCAAUACCCCUAAACCUAUCCCCUUCCCCCAAGGGUAGGUCGCGACAGCUUGGCGACUCUGCUAGAGACUUGGUUUUAAACCUUAGAGAACUUAGGCCAAAAUUAAUCUUGUUCAAAAAUAUUUUUGUUUGGCAGCGAGAAUUCCAAGUACGUCCCUAACAUUAAAAGUGUUAAAUGUUAUUGCAGAAUGGGAGGUAUAAUGGGAAGUAUUUGCUCACAUUUGUCUUGCAAGGAGAUGUAGGAAUGUAUGGUUUACUUUUUAUGUAUGAAAUGCUGAUUGCUUAUAAAUUGCCAUGCCUGCGUCUCCUGCAUUACACUAUAUCAUAGCACACACUACCUGCCAUCGGACCUGAGCCGCAUAGGAUCACUUAGGAUGGUGUUGAGGUGGAUACCACUCCAACUACAACUAUGUAGUAUGAGUCGCCCAUCUCUACCCCGAAAUUAUUUCUUCAUGUCGAAGGUAUCCACCCCGGUUUGCAACCGUGCGACAUAGGUCGGUUCUUUAACAAAGCCAAAGUCAUGGGUAACCCGACCCAGCCGCAACCUUGUUGGUUCAGUUUGGUGAUCCUAUGGCUCCAUUUUAAGCCGUAUAGAGUAAAAAUUGAACCACAUCUCAUGUGCAUGUCUAUGUAAUUGGAAGAGAGAGAGAGAGAGAGAGAGAGAGAGAGAGAGAGAGAGAGAGAGAGAGAAGGGUCGGCACCUAUUGUAAGUAUAAUUUUCCUUUUUAUUUGCUCAUUUUGUAUUGCAUUUUCAUCUUGAAAUUUGCGGAAAUUAAUCGAAUGCCCUCGGUGUUAUAGGCUUGUGAUUAAAAAAUUGGCAAUCACUCUUAAUAAGUGAACAUUGAAUAUGAGUUCUAAACACUUUGAUUUGGACCUAUUGAACACAUGGUUUUGUUUAAAUUUCUAGUUAUGGGCCCAAAAUCAUUUUGAAAAAAAAAAACUUUCAAGUUGUGAUUUUAUAUUGGGGCACAAAAAUUGAAAUUGCAUUUUUUUAUUAUCAAAUUCUCUCACUCUCAUAUUUUGGGAUUAAAUUGCAAAUCAUUUUGUGUACAAAUUUCUCAAAAUAGAAGUCAUUUCAUUUUUCUAAGAGUAAAACCACAAGUCAAUCUUUUAAAAAUUAAUGACACUUUUGCAUACUAAAUUUUUGGAAUAAAAGUGGACAUUUGAUUGAUGGCCAUAGAUUGAUUAUUUUAAUGAUGUCUUCUCUUAUGAUAAAAUCCUAGCGAAAUACUAAAACCCUGUAAUAAGGACUAUGGGGCAUGUACCGUCACCUUGAUUUUAUUGUAAGAAGCGAUCUCAUUGAGAUAUCAUUUUCUCUCAUUCACGUAUUGGCAUUGUUGUCUUUUUGUAGGUUAUGCACGAUGCUCCUUGACAUUCUCGUGGUGACCACAUCAAGAAGUGAAUUCUAGAGCUAGGAUAAGAGUUGAUUUUUACUUUCAUCUAUGCAAGAAUUUCUUCUAUUUUAUCAUCGUCUUUAUUCAUGUUAAGAACUGUGUUUUCCAUUUCGGGUUUUGAUUGUGAAUCCAAUUGAUGCUUUUGUAAAUCAUGCGAUUCAUUUUUUUUAUGAUGGAAUUCAACUUCAUGAAAAUCAUCCCUUAAAAAAAAAAAUCAGAAGUGUUUCGAGUGAAUCUUUACGUUUACCUUCCAAAAUGAAUUUCAAGAAAGUUUUGCUUAAGGCUCUCUCUUCAUGAAAUUGCUUUCUCCGGUAGGACGAUGAGUUUAUUUGAGAUCGACAUUUGCUCAUUCUAAAAGAUAAAAGUGUAGGCUCAUGGAACUUGAGGAGUAAGCAUGCGUUAAAGCAUCCUCGGCGCCAAUUUUCCAUAGAGGCGGAACGAAGUUGAAUUCCAUUCUGGGAAGUUUUGUUAUUCGCAAAUGCCUUAGAUGCCAAAACAACCCAUUGAUCUUGUUCACUUUGCAUGAUAAGACAAAUGAAGAGUAAUAAUGUAUUGUUUCCAAUAUUUCAAUCCCUAAAGAUUUUUGCACUAACAUAUUCUUUCACAUUCUUUACAGGGUUACCGAGUCACCAUGCCGCAAGUAAGUGCCCUUCUUGUCGUUUCUUUUUUCUUUUAAAAAAAGGAAGAAAAAAAACAAAAAAAAAUAGAGAAUUUCCAUUACAAAAAAGGAACCUUUGACGCUUUCCUAAAGAAGCACAGAAUGAAUAAUUGAAAAAAAAAUUCUACAAACUUUUUGAGCAUCCUUUUUAUCUUGAAAUUGUUUUCUCGUUUUGUGGGUUAUUCAUUUCAAGUCAAAUUUUCCUAUGGAGAUUGAUCUACUUAGAUGAUCUCAACAGAGUAAAAUAGAGACGUUAAUCACGCCAAACAAGGAGUGCUUAAGAUGAAAAAAGGCAAGCCAUUCCCAAACACAUCCUUCAAACACUUUUGAGAGUUGAGUGAAAAACAACAUUCUCGUAGGACAAAGGAUUCAUUCGCAUUAAGCGCAAAGAUUGAAAUGAUAAAGGCGUUUCCUUCAUCGAUCGAAAUGAUAAAGGCGUUUCCUUCAUUAAUCCCAAGCAUUGCACUAAUCUCUUCCUACCCCUUUGGGCAGAAUAAAGAUGAUCCUUCAAAGUACCCCUAUCGAGAACGACCCUACAUUGGGACAGCAUAGGAGGUUACGGUCGUGUUGUAAAGUGAAAGGUUGAGAAAGAUUCUAUUACCUUCACUUGCAUCAAUCUUCUAGUGAUAGCUUCAAAUGAAUUUUCAUUAGAUCUUCACUCAUCCCAAUGUGAAGAAGAGCAUUUCCUUCUCUAUCCAAACACAGAUAUCCAUUACUUUAACCAACGGAGUCGCUGGAAUUCCUCCAUCUUCUACUCUUGGGCGCUACUAGAAAAAUACUUGCCGUUAAAGACUCUAAGGAAGGUGUUCCACACUAGGACCACGCUUUCUAGGAAUACCGUCUCUGGCGGCUCUCCACCAAGUACUGGCAUUACCCUGCAGUUGAUAGGACCACUUUCUCCUCCUCAAUGCACAUCAGAAGUGCAAAGGCUUUUUCCAAGUCUUAGAUCCAGAGCAAUGCAGCUUCGGGAUCUCCUGUGCCUGUGAACCUUGGCGGGUUCAACUUCAAGAAUUGCUCCACUAACUUGUGCAUUAGCCUCUCUCUCUCUCUCAAUAACCACAUUCCCAAGUGGAAUUUCGGCAGAUGUAGCUACGGUAGCGGCAUUAGCAGUAGCAACAGCUAUAGUGGCGGCGGCUUGAUUCUGAGCCUACUACCCCGUCUAUCCUAGGAUCACCAAGGGUUGUUACCCCAACACCGACUGGAGGCGGUGCUACUCCACUAGUGCUGCCCUGAGCUUGCACUCUACCACGACCACCUCAAGUAUCGACCCUUGUCAGUGUCCUACCCUGAGUCACUAGUCCAAUGGUUCUCUUCCUAGGAUUCCUCUACUCCUGAUCUCUCAUUAUGCAAGUUCUUUACAAAAACCUGCUUUAUAAUUCUACACAGAAUUAGAAGCUCAGCAAUCAUACCAAACAAACUACCAAACAACUAUCACUCAAAUGCAUUAGCAUAAAAUAAAGGCUGUUGCUACUAAUUAUCCCAUGAACUCUUGCACCUUAUCACUCCAACUAUCGACCAACUUCAAUACCACUCCGAGCAUGGAUGUAACGCCCCGAACCUUGAGCGUGUGCACAUCCCUUGGUGGUCGAUGAAAUUGCGACAUCCCAGGACGCGUCACCAACCCAUUCAUUUUAUUGUACGUGUGGAAGCGAAUAAACAAAUCCCCUAGCAUAAAUCCGGAGUACUGUUCACAAGGUUUCUCUUUUCGAGCGAACCUGUUCCUGUUUCAUGCAUUCUCAUGCUCCUGGCCCAGGGUUUGUUGAUCAGUGGUUGCGGCCAUUACUCGAUGGAAAGUGGCACCUUCCACCCCUCUUUCACUGACCCUGGUAUGUCUUUCCCUCUCGGUUAGCAUGACUUCGUUGGUUAGGAUUUUCGCCCACUAAUCUGCUGCGAGUUUGAUGUCUGCGUUGGAUUGUGAGGGGGAUAACCCCCAUGUUGCGGAUGAGGGGAUGGAUUCCCGUGGGAAAUCCCCUUUGAUUGGGGAUGAAGGUCCCUCUUCGACCUUGCCUUCGGAUUCUCGAAAUGCCGUUACUGUUCCUUCUUAUGGAAAAGUCCAAUGACCAUCCCAUGCGCCUACAAAUGUGCGGCCUAUGAACAGGGGAAGGUCGAGUUCAAAGAGGCCUACUGGCCAAAGUAAUUCAAGGAAUCCCUAGCAUAAGUCUUGGGUGGCUGUGGCCCGAACGGUUGCAAAGGGCUAUGACUUGGUUUAUACACCACCUACUUUAGUGAACAAUAAGCCUGUCAUCGAAAUCACAGAUCAGGACUUAGAAGUUGUUGAUCCAAAGAUGCAUCAAUGCCUUAUGGGUCAUUUUAUGGCCGUAGGUUACUGUUUAGAGUUGUGGAAGAAGCUCUUAAGAAGCUAUGGGGGCCGAACUUGUUCGAAGUUAUGUCAAAUAGCAAGGGACUAUUUAUGUUCCACAUUCCGGACAGAGACUUUCGCAAGAAUGUCCUCGAAGGUGGGCGUGUCACGGUUGCUAAUGUUCCCCUCAUCCUCUAGCAAUGGACUCCGGGUCUUGAGCUGCGGAAGAAAAACCAUCCCACAGUGCCUAUAUGGAUUCGACUGUCCAAUCUACCUUUCUCAUGUUGGUUGGCUCAAUUCAUAGGAAAGGUUGCAAGUGCGGUUGGUAAACCUGUUUAUGUUGAUCAGCGAACUGAACAACUUAAGAGCCUUUCUUUCAUCGAGUUUGUGUUGAAAUUGCAACAAAUUAGACCUUUGAUGAGGUGAUAGAGACAACUUACAACGGUGAAAAAUGUGAGAUAGGAGUUGAGUUUGAAUGGAAACCUUCGGCUUGUGCUAUUUGUGGUGUCUUCGGGCAUAAUUGUGCAGGGAAUUUUUUUCCAAAACCCAAGGAUUCUACUGAUGCGGCAGCUCAUCCUGUUGUUGAGGCGCUGCCUCGUUCUCAUGUAGAGGGAAGUUCACAGCAGAUCAAUGAGGACCCGAGGUCUUUAGCGGUUGCUGCAGAUGACCCGUCUGUGGAGGGCAGUAUAGUGCCUGUAAAAGAAACAACCCUGGUUGCGGAGCUUGUGCAACAGGAGGCAGUGGACCCUGCAAUCUCAGCUUUGGGGGUGACUUCUGGUGUCUCGGGAUCUCAUGAAGCUGAAAGCCUACAGGCUGAUCCUGAUUCUAUGUUACCUCAUGUCUUUGAUCCUGGAGAGGCCGACUAGAAACAGGUAAAACCGAAGAAGAAGAAGCAACAGUUCUCAGUAGAUGCGGCCUCAUUUGAGUUGUCCCCACCGAGUGAUGGGAGGCAAUUCCUAAAACUAAAGGAAGCUGGGCCUUUAGAGUCUGUGCAGCAAAAUAAAUACCCCAAAGGACACUCGAAAGCUGUGGGCAAGGAUGGCACCGGUUGUUCCUCACAAGCUACAGGUGAUGUUGAUCAUUCCACUACUGCUCCUUCUUCCACUCAGGAAGAUGAGAUUUGCGAUUUCUCCCCUGGAGAAGAUGCAGCUGCGGUCAAGUCUGUUAAAGCUCCCUUGGGUCUUGCUGAGGGAUCCAUCCAGGAGCAACUAUUACAGAUUCGCCCCGAUCCCCUUGACUUGUUACAACCGGGGACUUCAAAAACGACUAAGUCAAGUUGCAAAGCCUACAAGCGGAGGUAGGUUCUCUCAUUCCUUUUUGAUGUUUUUUGGAUUCUGGAAUGUGAGAGGAAUCAUGGACCCUGUGCGAAGGGCCGAAGUAAGGAAGCUUGCUGCUGUAAAUAAGUUGAGCCUUAUAGGCCUUUUUUAGACGAAAGUCUCGAAGUAGCUAUUUGAUUCUAUUUCAACCUCCAUUCUAAGAGGAUGGCGUUGGAUUGCUAAUUAUGACUAUGCUCCUAGAGGCAAAAUCUGGAUUGGAUGGAACCCAAAUUCCAUUGAUUUUGAUGUGAUCUCCCUUAAUGACCAAGCCAUCCAUGGUCAUUUAAAUGAGUUCGUCCAACUUCACUUGCUGCGUUUCUGCUAUAUAUGGUGAGCACACCUUUGUGCGUCAGAGGCCUCUUUGGGAUGAUCUUAUCUUUUGUGAUGAGCUCUUUCAAGAUUCUGAUUGGUUAGUUACAGGUGACUUUAAUGCAAUCAAAGAUCCUUCUGACUGUUUUGGUGGCUCUAAUGCUUGGAUCCCCUGUUUUAAUGAAUUCAAACUUUGUCUGGAUCAAACGGAACUUGAAGAUCUCGGGUACUCAGGCCUCAGAUUCACAUGGUCAACUUCGGCAAGAGAAGCCAGGAAGAUGCGAAAAAUCAACAGAGUUCUUGUGAACUCUAAGUGGAGGAUGGACUUUUCUUAUUCGGAGGCGUCCUUUCUCAACCCUGGAAUUUCAUAUCACACCCUUAUGGUUGUUAGGGUUGUUGAUCCGCGGCCAAGGAGAAAGCCUUUAAGUUUUUCGAUUUCUGGGUUGAUCAUCUAGAUUUCUAGUCUACAAUCUCUCAUGCAUGGAUUAGUCAGGUUCGGGGUGUUCCGAUGUUUAGACUUGUUUCUAAGCUAAAGUUGGUAAAAGCCCGCCUAAAGGAUCUUAAUAUGGAAGCCUUCUCGGAUAUCUCACGGAGAACCCUUCAAGCGAGGGAAAACUUGCAUUCUACUCAGAUGCUCCUUCAGUCGGAUCCUGAAAAUAUCCCGCUUGCUGAACUUGAAAGAGGUCAGCGAAGUGUGUUUAUUGACCUUCAUCGUCAAGAAUAAUCAUUUUACAAGCAAAAAUCCAGAAUUAGAUGGUUGAAGGAAGGUGACCGUAACACAAUAUUCUUCCACAACUAUGUCAAAGCUAGAUGCCUCAACAAUCGAAUUCUCUCGGUUAAGGACUCUACAGGUGUGGUUGUUUCGAUCCUGUUUUGGUGCCUAAAGUUUUCCUAUCCUUCUUUACGGAUCUCCUUGCCCUUCGAGUCAAUGUGGCUAAACCAGAUCUUCAAGAGCUGACUUCUCUUAUUCCGAGGCCGUUGACGGAGGGCCAGGUAUGUUCUCUAGCCUCACCGGUGUCUGAUUUGGAAGUUAAGAAUACUUUGUUCUCGCUUGCCAAAGGAAAGGCCCCUAGUCUAGAUGGUUUUACAGUAGAAUUCUUCAAGAAUAACUGGAAUAUUGUGGGAUCCUUAGUUACUGAGGCGGUGCAAGAUUUCUUCUCCUCAGGCUUUCUUCUAAAGGAAGUCAAUGCGACUAUCCUAGCCCUUAUCCCUAAGGUGCCGAAUGCUUGUGAAGUGAAUGACUUUAGACCAAUUGCAUGCCGCAAUACUGUCUACAAGCUUAUCACUAAAAUAUUGGCCAAUCGAAUAGCACCUGUACUUCAGGAUCUUAUCAGUCCUACCCAGAAUGCAUUCGUUAAAGGAAGAAGAAUUAGGGAUAAUAUCUUAUUGGCCCAAGAGUUGUUUGCAGGUUUGCACCUUGACCCAUAUCUUCCAAGAUGUGCGGUAAAGGUGGAUUUCCGUAAGGCAUAUGAUACCGUUGAUUGGGAUUUCCUAGAGCUCACACUUAUAACUUUUCGAUUUCCUCAGUGGAUCAUCACUCGGAUUAUGGCUUGUGUUCGCACAGACAAGUUCUCUAUCUCUGUUAAUGGGGAGCUUCAUGGCUUCUUCCCAGGAGGCAGAGGCUUUAGGCAGGGCGACCCAAUGUCACUGUAUCUGUUUACUUUGAUCAUGGAGAUCUUCUUGGGCAUUUUGAACCAAAGGUCCUCGGCCAAGGAGUUCAAAUAUUUCUGGAGAUGUAAAUCUUCCAAGCUUACGCAUCUGUUUUUUGCAGAUGAUGUGUUUCUUUUUUGCCAAGCAAAUUGGAAGUCAGCUACGAUCCUGAAAAGAAGCCUCGACAUUUUCUCUUCUUGGAGUGGACUUCUUCCUAACAGAGAAAAGAGUGACAUUUUCUUUUCGGGAGGUGAUCCUUCUCUACGUAGCAGAAUCCUCCUAGCCUUCGGUUUCUAAGAAGGAAAACUCCUACUUCGGUACCUUGGAGUGCCAAUCAUUUCUAAGAGGUUGAGCAAGGGAGAUUGUGUUCAGCUAAUUGACCGCAUCACCUUGCGAGUCCGUUUUUGGUCUCACAGAUUUCUCUCCUUUGCGGGGAGACUCCAGCUUAUAAGGUCAGUGCUUCAUGCAAUUCAAUCGUUUUGGGCUAGUGUUUUCACUUUGCCGGCUUCGGUAAUCCUGGGGAUUGAGAAUAUUCUAUGUAGAUUCCUGUGGAAAGGCACUUCUUUGGUCACGGGAGGUGCGAAAGUCGCUUGGGCGGAUAUUUGUUUGCCUAAAGAGGAAGGGGGUUGGGUAUUCGAUCUAUUAAGGAUUGCAACAAAGCCUCAAUGCUGAAAUAUAUUUGGAUUUUGUUCACUAAUAAGGAAUCGUUCACUCCAACUUCUUAAACAAGCAUAACUUCUGGGUUGCCCAACAGCCUUCAGUUUGUGCUUGGAGCUGGAAGAAAAUUCUUCAUUUAAGGGGAUCGUUCAGGCAGUCCUUCGGGUGGGAGGUCGGUAAUGGCCGCUCUAUUUCCUUGUGGUUUGAUAAUCGGUUGCCUAGUGGCCCUCUCCAUCUACAGGUUCCUAAGCAUUUUGUGUCUGAUCCCGACGUUCCUGCUAGGGCAACUGUGGCGUCUCUCUAUUCAUACGCUGGCGGGUCUUGCAAACAGCGUCCGGAGGAUCUUGGGUUUUCUUUUCCAUCUCUCUCGACUAGUAGUGAUCGCUUUGUGUGGCAUCAACAUGCUUCGGGUUCUUUCUCUGUGGCCUCAGCUUGGAAUUUUAUUAGAAUUUCUAAAGCAAGAGUUCCGUGGACCUCCUUUGUGUGGGACAAGAACUUAGCCCCUCGGUUUCAGUUUCUUUUGUGGCUCACCACUAAGAAACGUUUGCUUACCCAGGCGUUUUUGCUCUCUUAUGGAAGAAUUGACUAUUCGGUGUGCACCUUUUGCAAUUCUCAGCCGGACUCUAUUGACCACUUGUACUUUGGCUGUAAUUUUCCAGCGACUUUAGUUUACUUCUAGGCUACCAGAUACAAUCUACCAUGGAGAAAUGGCACUUGGGAAAAAAACCUUGAUUGGGCCCGGAAGUUCCUUGCUGGUAAGGACUUCUUUCAUAGUCUCUCUUGGUAUUCAUUUGGUGCUCUGUGCUAUCUUAUUUGGAAGAAAAGAAAUGCCAUGAUUUUUUUAGGGGAUUCGUUGGAUAUUUCCACUUUGAAGAACCGUUUGAUUAUGAUGGUUAAGGAAAAUGCCCUUACUUAUAGAGAUGUGCCUGACACUCCAAGGAAUCGGUGCUUACAGAGAGGUUGGGGUUUUGACCCAGCCAUCUUCGCGUAAGAUUGCAGGUCUUUAGUUGAACCGCCAUUGCUUCCUUUUGGUCCCAGUCUCGGUCGCUUCUGGCCUUUGUGUUCCCGCCUUGCGCAAUUUCCCUCUUCGGCUUCAUGGGCGUCCUUGGAGGUUUAUGGUUGAAGUUGGUGGAUGGGUAGUUCUUCGUGUCCUGCCUUGCGCUCUCCCCCUCGACUUCCCUAGCGUCCUUGGAGGUUACGUGGCCAAAGUUGUUGGCUGGGCAGUGUUUGUUAUAGGUUGUGCUUUCGCCUUUUAUGGCUUUUACGCGGCUCCCUCUCACUCUUGUGCUCUUGCAUCUAGAGUGUAAGCUUUUGGUGUCGUUUUUUGUACAUUUAUCCAAAGCUAUCAAUAUAUUCUUACCUUUACCAAAUAAAUAAAUAAAUAAAUAAACAAAUCCCCUAGCAACAAACAACAUGGGAUAGAAAAGCAGGAUAACAAAUUUACAACCCAAACAUGCUUUUAUAAACAAACUAAGUUUAUAUACAAAACUAGUCUGUUUACCAAAAAUGUCGGCCCUCAAAAGGAAACUGUCCUACGACCUACUAGUCGAACACAUUCAUCGAUCCUUCAGACUCCACAAGCUUCGAGAGCGUCGGGUCCUCCACAGCACCAUCAGGAGGGUCAACUGCACUCGACUACCACAGCGGAGAUCUCAAAACCAUGGAGGGGACCAACUCUGUAUCAAUUGAGUCCAUGGCAGAACCAUGCCCUGAAUCGAUGAGGUACCCUCUUAGGUAGGCCAUCAUUGACCCAGACGGUGGUCAUGACCAACUCGUAGACCCAAUGACUACCAGGGACAAUGACGUCUAUACCCUUCUUAGUAAUAGCUCAUGGUUGACCAAAACAUUCCGGAGGAACCGCUAUCUAAGGACUUGAAAAGAAUUGACCCCACGAUUGGUUGAGACAAUGUUUCGGUAAGUUCACCCCCAUAAACUCCGAUUAGAAAGGAAAUACGCCUAAAGGCAGUCUAUACAAAAAAAAAAAAAAAAAAAAGGACUUACUUCCCCUCAAUUCCCUCUUGCAUGUCAAUACAAUUCACUUACUCAAUUAGUCAAUCAAUCCAUCAAUUCAAUCAAUACAAUCGAUCAAUCAAUCAGUCAAUCGAUCCAUUAAUUACAUGGGGUCUCAAUUAUAAGACCAAAUCGAUAUGAUACGUCCCAUACCGUGCCACACAAUUUUUUCUCAUAAUAUAACGCUUCAAUUUCAAUCAUACUUUCCAACUUGAUUACUACCCACAUAGGCACAAUAUACUGACGCACAUCGGUCUUCUAGCAUAGCCAAGCUUCAUCUCACUCCUUUGAGCAUGGCAACAUCCACUGACGCUCAUCGAGGACAGCAUUCCUGAAAAAGCAUCAGUCCAGAAUCUACUGCAACCGGCAUCCGUUGUCCAAGGGCAUCCCGUAUAGAGGCAACAUCCUACUAAUGCACAUCGGGGUUGAGUUCACUUAGCCAUUACACGAUCAAUCAUCCCGGCCAAGGACGUCGUGCUAUGCACUUAAAUAUCCUAAUUAAAAUAAUGACUUGCAUGUUUUCUUCGUAUUAAAAACACCCGAUAAAAAUAAUCAUGUGUGGGUACACGGUCAAUUUGAACUAGAAAAAUUGAUAUCCUCCCUUGUAAAAUCUCAUUGUUUGAUAUAGUUUUUAAAAUCAUUUUCAAUGUCAAAACUCGACACCCGAAAUUUUCUAAUUAAAUAUCAAAAUUUCACAAUUUUGGAAUAAAUAACCAAAAUUUCAAUCACCACUCAAUUUGCACAAAUUAACACUCAAUUGUAUAAACUAAGCACACCAUUGCAAUCAACACGAAAUUCCAAUCAUCGGCUAUCCUGGUAUAAUUUUUGAAAAAUAUAAAAUAAUUAAAUGAAUACCAAAAAUAAUUAAAUAAUGCAAUUUAAAUACAAUAAAUACCAACUUAAGCCCAAAAUGCCAAUCUAACCACCUAAAUGGGCCUAGAAAAUUUCCGAACCUAUCUAGAUAAAUAGUACAAUCUAUCCAGCCCUUAAUCAAUCUAGUCUAACCACCUAACAUGCAUAAUUAAGCGAUUAAUUCACUAAUCUAAACUAACUAACCACCUAAUCCCUAAUUAGACUAAACUAAUUAUCCACUAAGCGUCAUUGACUCUCUAAACAGAGUUUAGCAAGUAAACUCACCGGUUUAGCAGGCCGGUAAGUCCACGGUGACGACUACACGGAGGCAAGCAAUAAACAAGCCUACGGCAACACGAACGGAGGUCCGGACGGACCUUAAAACGGGCCACAAGCUCUCAACUCAGGGUUGAGCUUCGACUUCUGCUUCUUGGGCCGAGAAGGCUACUCGAGAGAUUGGAAGUGGCAAGGAGGGACAACGAUACUGCAGUGGGGAGUGGGGCCAGGCAAACAAUGGUGGUGGCUUCGAUUGGUUGGACAGCAACGAACAGCGAUCAGGUGACUCGCAAGACUUGUGAGCAAACACGGACGACAACGCAGGAUGAUCUGGAUGACGAGACGGCAAGCAAGAGGCGCGGACCUAGGGAAUGUGCGUACAGGUUCGCAGGUGGCGUGCGGCGGGUCCAGCAGCUCGAGAGGCGAUCAAUGGUGAAGGGGGGAGGUGUGCUGGCUAUUCUCUAAUUUCUUGAGCUCAAAAUUUGAACAACAAUGGAGAAAGCAGCCUAAAUGAAGAAGAAAGAGGCUGUUGAAGCAAGGGGGCCAUAAAAUAUCCUAAGACACUUGAGUUUGGUGCCCCACCAGCCUUAGCUGGCAUCCUCAGCCAAAUUGCAGCCUCCAAGCUUCCCAAACAAGCUUCCCAAUAGGUCCAAAAGUGGCUGCACCCCCUUGGCUACGAAUUUGGACAAUUUCCCUCCAAAUUUCAUUUCAAUUGCAACUCAAUUCAAUCCAAUUGAGUAACUAUAAUUCUAGCCAAGGUACCCACAUUAAAUUCUUAUAAUUCCCUCGCCAAAUAGUCCAACUUGACGGCCAAAAAUGGGACAAAAAAUGGCCCUCUGAUUUUCCCAAUCCAAAAUAACCCAACUUUGAUUUUCGCCGAAAUCUCGGGUUUGCAGAAAAAUCUUCAGAGAAUGAUUCAAAGUUCCUAAAAUGAAUCGUGACAUGACAGAACUUAAAUCGGGUUUAAAUUCGUGGUUAAUUUCAACCGAACACGAUUUUAGCGUGACUUAGCCUACCGGGUAGCUUUUAAGAAUUUUUAGUCCAAUUAACCUGUGGUCGAUUAUUUUCAAGCGAUAUUAUGCAUCUUUGACUCAUUGGUAACUCUCAAUUGUCAUGAAAAUCUCGAGAUUUCAAAUACGGGCAUAGAGUACAUAAAUGACAAAAAAAUCGGUCUAGUACCGUUCGAUAGAAAUUUUGCAAUCAAGUGAAAUCACCCACAACACUAAUCACUUACCUCUAUCGAAUUGACCUAUCUCCGGUCUCUAAUCGAUUUUGAUAGUGUCGUAUUAACUCUUGCAGAUUAGCACGGUCGAGCAGUUGAUUUAUGGUCAAAUUCUCAAGUCUCUUGCGUUAAAAUCCCUUAAUGGCUUCACUAGAUAGACUGGUUAUCUCGUGUGUGAUCAGUUUAGAGAAUAGAACUAUAAGCGCGUUGAUGAAAAGCCUAACUCAUUCAAUUGAAAACAGAAUAUGAAAAUCAUGAUGUCACAUGAAUGGUAGGGUCGAUGCAUGAUAUCAAGGAAAAACCUUGGGAUCAUAUAGAUCGCUUAAUUAGGAGACUUAUUAGCAUUAUUGGCCAUGCGAGAAUACAAUUGGUCAACAAUUGCUAUAAGUCACCAAAAAAAAAAAAAGAAUUUGGUAAGUGUCUUAGUGGGACCCUUACAUGAGAGACAAAGGUCGACCCCGAGGCCCCAAAAUUUGCCUUUUGUAUUGCACUUCUUUUAAAUGAUGGAUUUCAACAUAAUAUCUUGUUUUUUUUUAUUGUUUUGAUAUGUAUGCUUGUUUCUUUCCAUUGUAUGCACCUAGUUGCACCUAGUUAUAAGUUUCUUAGAUUAGGAUUAGAUUAGAACCCCGAAGAUGGAGAAAGCGCAAAGACGAUGGAGGUUGAUAUCCAUUCCAACCAUUAUCAUGUACUAUUCAUUUUCCGACAUAUGUCUCGAGUUUCAUUUGUUGCAUAAAAUCCAACGAGUUGUGGGCUUUCUCUCUUUCUCUCAUCUUUUUCAAUUGUAUUUCUCUUUUAUAAUUUUUUAGGAUUGCAUGAUAGAUUUAUUACUCUCCUUGAUUGUUUACUUACUAUUUUGCAAUUUCAAUUCCAUUGAUUGAUUUAUUUUCUUGUUUUUCUAGAAAUAAAAUAAAAUGAAAAUGACCAACCACGCAUGGUCACUUAGUUUAGGACAAAUGAUCCUAAAAAUGUAAAAAGAAACAUAUGGACAUGUUAGGAAAACACAACAUGUUGUUUAGGUACUGAAAGGACGCAAUAGAAAUAUUAGCAUAACCCAAGUCCCCGAACCUAGAUAUUUGGUUGCAUAGAAAUCGAGGGAACACUCUCGACCCUCCAUUGGGUUUACUAACCGACCCCCAAAAUGAGGCUAGUGGCGACUCCCGUCUUAUUUUUAGGUUGUCAUAAACAACUAGAUCGUACAAAUAACCCGUCACGCAGGGUAUGAGUUUUGAUGAAACUCACGAUGGUUUAGCAUACUCGACAUGGGAGUUCCCCAAAGGAUGAAGUGAUGUCAUCCUUAUGGGCGAGCCUGACGAGAGGGCUACCAUGGUAAAGGUAACCUUAAAUCCAAUAUUCACACCUGACCCCUUUUUCUAAGGUGUGUCGCUCGUGUGGGUAUGGAUCGCGUCACUCCGCUGUCACACGGGGUACGAUCUUGGGAGAGCUUGCAAUCUCAUGAAGGGAACUCACAAGAGGAUUGAUCUAAAAGGCGAGGUGAUGACGUCUUUUGGAACUCGAGCCGUGAGAGAACUCUCGUGAUCAAGUACCCUUAAAUCUGACCUUUCCCCCUUUUCCCUCCUCGCGAUGAUGAGGGAUUUAAGAGCGGUGAGAUCGGGUCGCGACAAUACGUAUACAAGCUAAGUCAGUCCUACAGGUCUGUACACCAAAGGUCUGUCCUGAGAAGAACUAUCGGGCAACCUAUACUUUGGAUCCCUUCGACUUUGGCUCGAGACCCUCCACGACACCCUCCGGUAUCUCCAUACUAAGGAUCUGAAAAAUUUAAACCACGACGGGGUGAGACAAAGUCUCAAUAAGUCCACACCCUAAACCCCAAUUAGUACGAGAAUUCACUUAGAGGCAGCCUAAACAAGCAACAUAUAAGACUCGCCUCGCCUCAGCACCUCCCUGCACAUUAGUACACCAUAUAUAUACACAUGUCUGAAGGCAGCAAGUGUAUACCAUUAAUUGGAACACUUCAUGUCAUAUAUCAAUUAAUCACAGGGGUCUCGAUUAUAACGCCAAAUCAUUAUGACACGUUCCAUUCCGUGUCACACAAUUUUGUCCCAUAAUCAAGUGCGGCUAUUUCACUCAUUCAAGCGUUCCAGUUAAUUGCGAUCCAACGGCCACGGCCAACUCAACAGUCGGUGAUCAUCCAGCAUAACCAGGCAUCGUCCUGUUUCGUUGGGCACGGCAACGUCUACAUCUAAACGGCAUUCUCAAAGAAACAUCGGCCCAGCCUCCAUUGCGACCAACAUCCGUUGACGUGUGGCAUUCCAUAUAGGAGCAUCGUCCUUGACUUUCAUCAAGUGACUAGUUCUCAUAGCGAUCACACGCACAUCCAAUCUUGGCCAAGGAUAUCGUGUUUUGCACUCAAAUGCCUCAAUUUCAAAUGUGCUUGGCCUAUUUUCUUCAUAUUAAAAACACCCAGUAAAAUAAUAUGCAUAGUCACACAGUCAAAUCGAAUCAUAGAACGUGAUACUCUCUCUUUUUAAAAUUUCACGUUUUAUAUAGUACAUAAAAUAUUUUUAGCGUAAAAACCCGACAAAUUGUAUUUUUCCAAUUAAAUACCAAAAUUCAUAUUUUGAAAUAACAAUUAAAAACCAUCAUCAAGCACUCAAUUGCACAAUUUAGCACUCAAUUUCACAAACCAACGCCAUCAUGGCGAUCAGCGUAAAAUUUUGACAAUCGGUUAUCCCGGUAUAAUUUACGCUAAUUAAUAAAUAAUUAAAUAAAUUACAUUUAAUUAAAUAAAUUGCAAAUUAAUUAAAUUAAACCACUAAUUAAUCCACAUAAGCUAAUCUAUCCACCUAAUCGAAUUAAUUACCUAAUCUAGCUAGGGUAAUCACAUUACUCUAAUUAGGCUAAUCCACUAAUCUAUCUAACCACCUAAUUAAUCUAACUAAUUAACUAAAUAAAUAAUUACACUAACUAAAUUAACCUUAAUCCUAUUUAAGCCUAAACUAAUCCACUAAUUAGCCUACUAAUCCACCCUUAAAUUUAAUUAGCCUCCUAAUUAGACAUUAAAACAUAAACUCACCGAUUAAGCGAGCAAACGGGCCCAUGGUGAUGGCGGCGCAACGGCAACUAAAACUCGAGCCUACGGUGACACCAAGGGAGGCUCGGAAUGGGCCGAAAAAGGCCUAGCUAGGCUCACGGCCUAGCUGGCUUUUGCUCCGUCCUAGACCAAGCUAGCUCAGCUAGCUGAGGCGGAGCUACAACAUGAAGGCUAGAGGCGGUGAGGUAGGUGGCUAGAGCUAGACAAGACGAACGCUGGGACAGGCGAAGGCAAGCUGGCGAUGAGCUCGGGGACGGGCUCGUGAAGGAGCUGGCGUCGCGAUUGAACCAGCAGACAUCUGGCGAGUAUGCAGGCAGCUCGGGCGGAUUGGCGAUGGCUUGCGAGGCUGCUAGCUAGUAGGGUGAGUGGUUCUAGGUUCCAGUUCGAUUCCGUCUGGAACCUGGAACCUACCCUCGGGUACAGGUUCCUCAUUUUUUGGAACUUGGAACCUACCCGUUAGAACCAAAAAUCUGAAACCCACCCUGUCACAGGUUUCAAAGUCGGUUCCAAGCUCCAACAAGUUCUUUUUCUUCUUCUUUUUUUCAUUUUUAGAUUUGAACUAUAACGUAUGCGUCUACUCUACGGUAACUUCCCACAUCUUAGCAAACAUACCAAUGCCAACUACCAAGAAUUUGAACAUACAUAAUCAAAACCAAUAAAUUUCCAAAGAGAAAAUGUAGUUGAAAGAGGCACAGCUUGAGUUCAAGGUCCAUUAAAAGCAUAAUGCAAAUGCAGAAAAAUCAAUAGGGGCACAGCUCACCAUUGAAAGGAUACCGAUACAAAACAGUGCCCAAGCCAUCAACUAAGGUUUUGAAGUUCAGUUCACUGACAGUUGCAUUAAGCGCAUCAUCAAAAAAGUUCCAAAGAGCCAGCACAAUUGGCGCUACAUCCACAUCAGGUGCAAGAAAAUCUAGAGCAUAGUAGUCACAAGCCAUAGCUUUGUAAUCCCAAUUAACGAGAUGAACCACAUGACCGAUUAUAGCAAGCCUCGCGUCCUCUGGGGUCUCACUCAUGAUCCCAAAAUCAAGAAAAGCAAGUUUACCAUCAAGUGUCGCCAAAAGAUUACCAGGAUGAGGAUCUACAUGAAAAUAUCCAUACUCAAGAAGCUAUCUCAGAUUGCACUGAAUGCCUGCAUUCACCAAAUCCAAAACUUUUAAACCUUAUCUCUCAAUUGCUUCCUGCUCAUUUAGUUUGACUCCAUCCACGUAUUCCAUUGUUAACACUUUGCCACUUGUAUAAUCCCAAAAAAUAUCAAGGACAAGGACAUCUGCCUUGUCAGCGUAUAACUUCUUAAACCUCCUUGCAUUCUGCCCCUCCUGCAGACACCUAUCAAAAUUAACAAUCAAGCCCAACAAAAUCUUAUAGAAGGGCUUACCAAAUCACACAAUCGCAAAGAGAUCUUUUGAACUAAUUAUACAUCUUAAGAAGUAAGUACACCUUCGAGUUAAAGGCCAAAUUUGAAUGGUAGUGCGAGCAUCUAUCUAUACCCUAGGUUCAUAAGGAAGCUAACCCGCACGUAGUUGAGCUCCUAAAGAACUCUUCAAGCAAAUUCAUCAAUAAGAGCAACGACAUCACUAGUAAUUACGUCGACGUAUUUAUUGAUGAGAAUUCUAAGACCUCUUAUCAAGUAGAAGUCUAGUCCUAUAGCUUCUUCGAUACCUAGUCUUUGCAUUUUUACAGCAACUAAUUGAUUAGAAUAUCUCAGCCGCACUUUGUAAACUUGCCUAAACUUGCUGCAGCUAUUGGAGAAAGGAAUAUAGACGAGAAAGUCGAAUCAAGGGUCAGCCCCAACUCUUUCUCAAUGCAGGCAAAUGCUUUGGUAUCUGGGAAUGUGGGCAGAGCAUCCUGUUGUGGUAAAAAUAAAGGCAAUAAAUCAUUAGAAAACUUGCUCUCUCUCUCUCUCCAUAGUCUUCCUCUAUUAUCCUGAAUAUUAUCGUACAAACAAACGAGAUGUAGAAACCCCAAUUUAAUGAUUUGAGAUGUACGAACUCAACAAAAUAAUAUGCUAACAAUGUAAACAAAAAUGCCCUCUUGAUUCUAAUGCAAUCUUCACAUCUGAAUUGACAUAAAUGCAUUACUCAUACAUGCACUAGAAUUCAGGUCAAUCGAUUCUUAUAAGGAAUAGAGCAGUGCCAUAGUAACAUGUCUCUAUGAGAGUUAAGUGCAAUCUCAAGGCGCACGGAUGCACAUGUUCAGAGAUGAAGCAGUACCUGAAGUUCAUAGAGCUCCUCCAAGUACUCGAGAGGGCAGAGAUCAGGCCUUGUUGACAGCCCCUGCCCUAUUUUAACGAAAGUCGGCCCCAAUCUCGUAAAAAUCCUUCUCACCCCAGCACCUCACUUCCUCUUAUUCUGAUCAAUUUGUCCAUUGCUUUGAUCCAGCAACAACUUAAUCGUGAAAGAACCUAGCGAGACCAAUAUCUCCAGCGUUCUCGCCACCACCUAGCGAAAUUUAAUUCCACUCAAUCAACCAAAUGAACCAGGAUUCAAUCUCCCCAGUGAAAUUCAAAAUCUACGCACGUAAGCUAACCAAAUACGCUCAUAAGCACAUAACAUCCAUCAUAAAUUACAGCUUAGUUAUCGGUAGAGAGAGAGAGAGAGAGAGAGACCUUGAUAGGGCGAGAGCUGUGUCGGCAAGAGAGGAGCUCGGAAGAGUAAAUGAUGGCAUUGGUGACGCAGGCCAUGGCUCGAGCCUCGGCUUGGACGUCCUCAGCUUGGUCAGCACUCAGCACCGGCACGACCGCGCCGCCCCUGCCUCCUUCUCCUCCUCCGCCGACACCGGCGCCGCUGUCCCUUGCCUCCGGCAGACCCUGAGGCCUCACCUCGACCAGAGCCACCCUAGGAGCCACCACUCUCGCCGCCGCUCUACCUCCAUAGAUGAACCUCAGGACCGGAAUCGAACGCCAUAACGGCGAGGACACGGUGAAAGCACAGGCGGCGAUGGCCUCGAGGGUGAGCAUCGUCCGGUGGCAAGACUCAAAGCGACGUCAAGCGGCGUGACCGUGUGUGUGCGUGUGAGGUCUGAAUUGAUUUUGCAAAAGAUACGAAUGAAGAUCGUCUUCUUCUUUGGGAGCCCUAACCAAUUCUGAAACUAGUUCCGGUUCCGGUUCCAAACCAGUUCUGGUUCCCAGAAAAAAGGAACCGAUAACCAGAACCGGUCCCCUUAGAACUGGGAACCGAACCGGUUCGGUUCCGGUUCCCGAGUAACCCGGGAACCGCACUCACCCCUACUGGCUAGCUCGGCAGUGCUGGCUUGGUCUUAGGUGUUUACAGCUUUAACAAUGGAGGGAAAGGGAGCUUUGAGGAAGAAGAAGAAGCUGAAACAAAAGUAGAAGCUGAUCUGCUAGGUGUGGUGGUCGACCGAGGAGGAGAAGGGAGGGAGAGAGGGGGAACCAAGGGGGGACAAGAGGCCAAGAAGUCUUGGUGCUGUCGAAUGAGGUCUAAGGUGAAAAUAUCAUUCACUUGAGUGCCCUUGGCACCAAAGUCUUUGCCCCCUGCUAUCCAAGCUUCUCCCACAAGCCAUUUCUUCACAAAUCUUCACCACAUGACUUCAUUUUGGUGUCCAAAUCCACCCCAGUAGCUGCCCCUACGAAUUUUCCUUGGUCUUCAUUUAAUUUCUCACCAAAUCAAGUCAAAUUAGCCUCCAAAAAUACUAACUAAGGUGUCCAUAUGAAUGUCCAUAAUUUACUUCACCAAACAAUCCCUUUUGAAGGCCAAAAUUUUACUUGAAAAUGCUCAUCCGAAUUUCUCGAUUUUAAUUUGCCAAAUUUUGAUUUUCCGCCAAAAAUCCAAGCUCGCUGAAAAUUCUUCAAAGGAUGAGUCGACUUCCCAAAGAUAAAUUGUGACACGCUCAAACUUUCAAUUCUCGAAACCAAGUUCAAUUUCGUGGUUAAUUUCGAUCAAACACGAUUUUAGCGUGGCCUAAUCUACCAGGUAGCUUUUAGAAAUUUUAUCACAUUUAACCCGUGGUCAAUAAUUCUCAAUCCACGUUUGUGCAUUUUUGACUCAUUGGCGACUCUCAGUUGUCGUAAAAAUCUCAAGGUUUCAAUUAUGGGCACCGAGUACAGAAUCGUAAGAAAAAUCGGUUUAGUGCCGUUUGACGCAAAUUUUGCAAUCAGGUAGAAUCACCCACAAUUUAAUUACAUGUCUCUGUCGAAUCGACCUAUUUUCGAUCUCUAAUCGAUUAUAACGGUACCGUAUUAACCAUUGUCGAUUAGUACAGUCGAACAAUCGAUUUCUGAUCGAAUUUUCAGGUCUAUCGCGUUUAUAUCCCUUAACGGCUUCACCUGAUAGAUUAGUUAUCUCAUGAGUGAUUAGCUCAUAGAAAUAAAACCAUAGACGCAUCGAUGAAAAGCCCAUUUCAUUUAAUCGAAACAAGGUCAAAAAUUCAGGAUGUCACACAUAGAUUAUCAGUUUGGGGUUUUUAGUGGUCAAAAAAUUAGUUUUAGAUAGAUUUAUGACAUGUGUACUGAUUUGAGAUUUUUCAUGGUAACCCUAAAUUUUACUGCUAUUUUUUGGUAUCUAAUUACAAGUUGAAAGAUAUUAUUUUCACUUCUAUGAAUGUGAUAUGAUAAUAUCAUUUUUUUUAUAAGUAAAUGAUAAUUGAAAUCUUACAUCGUUGAUUGACUAAUUAGGAAGUUGAGACUUGUAAGUAUUUUCACUUGAGCAUUACAUGACAUAGGUUUUAUACAUGUAUAAUUUGUCUUACUCCCAAAGAAUGAGGAUCUAAUACCUUAAAAAACCUCCAAUUUUGACUUUUAUUCCAAUUUUACUUUUUGUCUCUUAAAAAACCUUUAACUUUAGGUCAAGUUCCAAAUUUAUCAUAAAAUUUAUAUUGUCUUAUAAAAACCAUCACUUUAGGUCUUGUCCCAAUUCUAUCAUAAGCUUUUUGUUCCUAUGAAAAACCCCUAACCUUAGGUCAUCCUAAUUUUACCAUACGGUCUCAAUUUUAUCCUAAAAUUUUUACAGUCUUAUAAAAACCACAAUUUUUUUACUUAAGUUACAAAUUUGACCACAUUAACCCUCCAUCCACAAUUUCUCGUUGACAACCAAAAGAUGGAAAAUUCCUAAGCACGAGUUGUUCAAGCAUCCCCGACACAAGCUCUCCGACUGCGACACGACAGAUGGAACAUUCCCAAGCAUGAUAGAUUGAUGAGUGCAAAAUCACUAAGGGUGAUUUUGACAGAGGAUUAAUGGAGAAUAGAUUUGAGACUCAAGUAAAAGUUGGUGGCAUUAUGUGAGACAAAAAAUAAAGAAUGAAAUUGAAACUAAACCUAAAACUAGGAUUUUAUGAGACAAAAUAAAUUUAUAAUAGAAUUAUUAUUGGACUUAAAGUUAAGAUUUUUUAUGAUACUAAAAAAAAAAAAAACGUGUAGGGUAGAAUUGGGACAUGAUGUAAAGUUGGAGGUUCUUUAUGAGAUAAAAUGUAAAAUUGGGUUUCGAACUAAGGUUGGAUUAUUUUUAAAAAAAUUAGGCCAAGAAUGAGCAUAGAAGUUCAGUAAAUGUACCUGAGGAAGGCAAAUGUCUUUUCUUUUUAUUAUUUUCUCAUGUCAUGUACUUGCAUAUAAUAUACAGAGGAGGGCCAAUGUUUUACGGACAAAGCAUGCAACAAAGUCACAAUACGGACUUUCCCAUAAGAUUGUGUUAGGAAAAUGAAACGUAAAAGAGAACACAACAAAAAGAAAAGGACAGGUGAAAUUUUACAUGGAAAACUCUUUCGAAAUAUUAAGAGAAAAAGUACGGCGCCAUACAUGGCAAUCUUUUUACUAUAAGAAUCGAGUUUCAAGUUAUAAUUACAAGAGAUAUCACCUCAAUAUAUAAUAAGAGUCUACGGCAUAAAAAAUUAUGGCAGAAGUUAUAUGCAUACCCUUAGCAACAAUAUUUUUCUAUUUCAUACUUCACAACUCCAUUAUCUUCUUGGGAGACCCGUAAUCGACCCUGGUUUCAAUCAACGCUUCAAGGAAAUGCUAGUGCUCUAGAGCCGACGUCUCUCCUCCUACGCUGAGGUGUUUGUUUCUUUGCCGGUUGUUCAUGCCGUGCCUUUCUAGUUUGCUGUUUGCCUUCUUUUAGGCAUUGCCUUGUGUUUUACAGCAUGGCAUACUUCUACUCAUUAUGUUUAUUCAUUUUGAGUAUAAGUUUUUGAUGCCGUGUUUUUUUGUACUUUUGACCUUUCCUCUUUAUAUUACUACCUUUUACCAAAAAAAAAAAAAAAAAAACUCCAUCAAUGUCCGACUUGGAGGCUAAUCAUGAAAUUAACAAUAGUCUCUCAUUGUCUUCCCUCCUCCUUACACCCAAUUGUCUUUUUACGACACCAUGGUUUUUCACUUCCUAAUUUUGAAAGGAUUUUUCCCACAUUUCUUCUCUGAAUUCUUCUCUCCUACAUUUCGCAUUUCUAACAAAUAUUAUUAGAGUCGAUGGUUGAUUAAUGAUCCACUUCCAAUGUGGAUAAAAGUAAGAUAAUGUAGGUCGAGAAGACAUCCUAAAGCUAAUAUACUAGAUGCUGUGUCAUGAUCUAAUUGGGUGUUCAAAGAAGUGAAUUUGGAGCAUCCGAUGGCGAACUUAAUUAUCUAUCAAAUCCCGCGUUCUCUGCACGUCAACAAUUCCCCAAAUAGUUCCAUUGUUCUCACUCCUCAUAGCUUCUGCAAGCCAUGCUUUUUGGCUUUGGCUUACAAGUGAAGAAUUCAUGUAUAGUUAGUGUCAAACUUGGAGUAGAUUGAGCUCCCAACUUGAUUCCUCCGCGAAUGCUACAGACAAUUAGAGAACCCAAUUCUUUUUAAAAUAUGCUUGUGGUUCUAAUAAUCUCUCCUUUCAUUGAGAACCAUUCGAUAGAUUGAUUCUGUUUUCUACUUCGACUCUUACUCUUUUUCAUUGGUUCUUGAAAGAGCCCCCACGUGCACCUUUUGAAACAAUAUAAAUUCUGUAGAGAUAUGUCUAGUGCGACUAUAUAUAGACAAGCAAGAAAAACAUCACAGCAUCAGCUACAUUUAGCAAACACAAAGGGCAUUGAAAGGCACUAGUUACAUUGUUCCCGCUCUCUUCUUCUUCCCAAAUGCCCGAAUCAGGAGCACAACAAAACCCACUUCUUCCGGGUAUUUUACCACCCUAUUCUUGAUAACCUUGAUGGAAGGAUUUAUUCAUCAGAGUAGCGAAAGUUAAGGCGCAUUUGAAAGCUUAAGCUUUUAACGUCCUCUUUUUUUAUUUAAGGGUCCCCGACAGAAAGCCCGCCAAACCCAAGCAAAUGGAAAUUUUUGUGCAGCAGCAAGAAUAAGAAGAAGAAGAAAGGAAAGGACUUUUUCAUGCAAGGAUUGUAAGUCGACAAAUAUCGCCUUCUUUUUUAGCUUCGACUGAAGAUUUGCAUCAAAUGCAUCAAUGAGCAAAAAGUUCGAUCUCAUGAGAGUUCGAAGGCAAUUGAAAUUCAUAAUCACUCCUUUCUCUGCUAUUAUUCGAAAUUUUCUGACAGUUCCUUGAUGGCUUGUUUUUGUGGUUCCCCAACAAUCCAGCGUGUGUGCCCCGUUGUGCUGCUGCCUCUGUCUGGUAUGUUCCUACCUAUGAUUUGAUAGCUUUGCAGGAGAAUUCACCAAUAUACUACUUGGGGUGUGUGAAUCAGUGUGUAAUAGUUUGCUAUGGUCUGCAUAACAUACACCUUCUGCACAUAUAGUAUAUCACUACCAUAUGUUCAUUGACACAAGCAGGUCCCUCUUGAAUUGCCACCUGUAUCUAAUUUGGAUACUCUGUUUUUUCUUCGAAAUCUGAGUGUUCUGUGCACAUUUUAGUAAUCAAAAACUAGUAAACAACAGGCAAGAAAGAGGUAAGAGACAGAAGGUCAAGGAUUCUCAUGACUAGAGUGACUCUUGAGAGGAAAACAGAAACUAAAGCAAAGAGUGAAAAAGAUUGGAUGGAAAUCGAACCAAACAAGAAACCUAUUCUUCUGCUUUUACUCCUCUUCGUCAGCCAUUGGCAUCAGAUCUAGAUGAUAUCCUUUGAGAUCUUAUCACGUGUGGCCAUAGAUGGUAUUAGCCAGAAAAUAUUUAAAUCAACGUUUUCUAUGAUCUCAAACUCAAUUCACUUGCUAACACCAAAAAAAAAAAAAAUCUUUUAAAGCAUGAAGUUUGGUUUCUAAUCUCAAAGAAUAUCAAGAACACAAUAGAGUACUUGCCAACUGCAUGAGCUUAAAGAAUCGAUAGAAAACAGUGCGCUCGCAUUAUUUUUACUUUACGUACUUCUGCUAAGAAAAGAUCAUUUUCUCAUGAAUCGGCAUGUACAUAGCAUGCAUAAAAGUGCUAGCAGUAAGCAUUAGACGCUGGUAAUCAAUGAGGCUUUGUCAUCCUCACUCACGACCAAUCAGAAACACGCUCACCUAGUUAAUGACCUUUAUAAUCUUCUAUGAGUGCAUUGCUGCACCUAAUACCAUCAGUGACUAGCAAUUACAAUGCCAAAAAAAUUACAAUCAUUUUGGCUGAGAGACACUGAGACAAGGGGCCAAAAUGAAACAAGAUCCAGAGCAAUUAUGCAAACCCAUUUUAAUGCCCAUGAAGCUACAACUCAGCCCACUUCUCAUUUUUGCUGCAGGUGGCGUCAAGAAAAAUAGAACAGUGUAAAGAAAGGAAUAAGAAAGGAAGAGGAAAAACCGUAAAAUAGAAAGGAAAGGAUUCAGUUCCUGCAAGCACAGACAUCUCGAAAAUCUGUCCAAAGCACUCGGUAAGAAUUCCAAGCCUUGAUCCCUUUAAUCAGAGGGAAUUUCUUAGUAAAGUUGCAAUUUAGGAUUAUUUUGAAUUCUAGUUGCUUGGUAGACAUUAGAGGUAUUUGCGCUGUAUAAUCGCGUUGUAAAGAAACUUUUCAGAUGUCGUGGACCUCUAGGAUUUUAGAGAAGUCGAUUUGUGUCACAGUGUCAUCAAGACGAAAUUUUGAAGUUUACUGCAUCCCGUUGAAAUAGUUUCUAUCUCUAUCUUGAGCGUUGGUUUUUGCCAGUCUACGGUCAUCUUUUGGGUCAAAGGCACAAUUUGAAGUACAUCAAGUUAGAUUUCCAAUGACUCUGGACCCAUUUGAAAAAGACUUUGGUAGAGUUUUUUUUUUUUUUUUUGGGGAAGAAGUUGGGGGGGGGGGGGGGCUGUCUAUUUUGAGCAAGUUUUUGAAUGCAUAUCAAGAGUUUUUCUAUUUUUUGUUACCAAAUAAGCUUUGUUUGGUCACGUCUUAAUUGAUUUUGAUGUUCAUUUCUCGCUUCAUUGAUAGAAUUCUGAGUUUGCUGUUCAAAAUAUUUUUCUUUCAAUUUAGUAUAACAUGUCUUUUAUUAUUUGGAAACCCAUGUCUUGAAAAUUAUAGGAAUUAAAUGUGUUGUAAGAUAUGAAAGAAUCAUCGCAUGGCAAGUUGCUUAGUAAAAAGGAAAAGUGGCACUUGUCAAAAUUAUUUGUUGCAUACAGAUGGAUUAAGCAUUUACUAACAAUUUGAUUACAUGAAAUUGCAUAGUAAAGCACUUGUCAAAAUUAUUUUUGAAAUAAUUCAAAAAUUGCUAUGCAAAAUAUACUCUACUUCCGACCCUCUACUUGAUGCAAGGGCUUGGGAAAGGUUACUUGUAUUGAUUUGCCAGUUUGGUCAUUCUGAUGUGUUUUUAUGAUUCGUUGGAGGAUGUGAUGAUAGUUUGAUGCUCUUAUUGCUAUGAUCUGAACCAUUGUUCUCGGGAUGUCUUGUUUGGAUCAAGCCACUAGCUGAUAUAGGUGAAGAUUUAUGUUAGAGAAAAUCUUGAUAUGCCUCGUUUUAAGAUGGCCAUAGUUUGACAUUGAACACAAAUAUUUGGUGUUUUUUGGAUGUUCCCGAUUAUAUGAACUUGUGUGAAACCAUAUAAAAACAUGUCUUAUAUAUAUGAUAUCUUGGUUCACAAAUAUGAGUUCUUUGUUCAAAAUGUUUAUACAUAAGCAUAGUAAAUGCUCAAUCUAUUUAGAAAAGAUUUUUAUUCAUUGAGCUAUGGCUUACUCAUACCAUUUAUUUCAAUUCUUUUCCAAUUUUCUUCCAAGUUCUACAGGUACCAGCAAGUAGGAUAAGAAGAUUUCGACGGGCAAAUAUUUUCAGUUUCACUUGAGGUAAUUUGAGAUUAUUGGGAAUGAAAUGUACUUUUUGACUCUAGCUUUGUCAUUCAUUGGACAAAUGCAGUACAGUUUAAUCUUUUGAGUUUUAUGCUUAGCUGAUGAGAUGAAUGUCCUUUUCAGUACACUAAAUAGUCCAGUCCUUUUAAUCAGCUUGCAUUUUUUUAUCACGUAUCAUAUAUUUUGAGGACAGUUCUAUGUUGAUUAUGUGUGAGUUGGCCGCAUCGUUUGAAUAGGAGGAAGGUUGUGUCGUUUCGGACUGGACCAACUGCUCUUCAUUUUCCUAUACUAGCCUAGUACGCUAGGAGAAGGGCAUCACGGUAAUCCGAGCCGAGAGAUCCUUGCACAGGGUUGUCCGGUCCCCCGCGGUUAACAUUGCCCACAUUUUACGUCCGUGGGCUAUUUCCGAUCAGACGGAGCAAUUUAAGGACCUGCUGAGGUCCAGUCUAAUCCUUUUAAUCAGCUUGCAUUUUUUAUCACGUAUCAUAUGUUUUGAGGACAGUUCUAUGUUGAUUAUGUGAGAGUUGGCUGCAUCGUUUGAAUAGGAGGAAGGUCGUGUCGUUUCCCCUAUGCUUGGAGAGUUGGGGUGCGAUGACUAUCAUUCAUCCACAAUCAAUCUGCUCAACCUGAUCUAAAGAAAAUGUGCUAGAGGGACGCCUGCAUUCCGAAAGAAGAAAAUCCCUGCCGACGUGGGAAAAGAUAUGAUCCCAAAAUUAGGUCGUUGGAUCUACAAGCUCUUGAUAGUACAGAACUUGAAAGAAAGGGAACUUAAAAACUACAGGCAAGUUGAACCUCAAGCUGCACCUAUAAGUAAUCUUCCUUCAUUUAAUACGAAAACCCAGCAGAAGGAUUGCAAUGGAACUAAAUAGAUUCCGACAGCUGAAAAGUGAACCUUUAGAGAAGCCUAGCCUAAGAUAAAACUGGUAUUCAAGUCAAAAUCAGAGAACCAUCCUCACACUUACGAGCUAUUUUCUCUAAAAUUCUCUCUUUCCUUUACUCAGUUUUAUGAUUGAUUUUUUAUUAUUGCAAAUCCUUCAUCUGUCUAAGUAUUGUGCAAUCUUCAAGAAAAUUUUUAUAAACCUAUUCACCCCCUCUAGGUACUCGUACUAGCGUCCCCCCGGGUGAUGCAACAUCAUCCUUAAGCUGACCGGGAUGCUUGCCCAUUUUAGAGGCCAUAGAUGCUGCACCCAACACCUGCAAAUGUAGCAGCAAAACAAUGAAGCUUCAAAAUGAAUGAAAGCCAGUGCAAGCCACUAAUAAUUCAAGCAGACAUUCAUACAGGAACCACAGCAAUCUCUCCAUGCUAAGUUUCUGAAGUUUUGUUAAAAUGAUUAAGGUAUCUUACCUAGCAAAAGUACUGAAGUUAGGAAUAAAACUAGUGCGGUCCAUAAUCCAGCAUUAAUGUUACUUCUGUCAACUCUUCCGCCAGAGUGUACAACAGACGUACCUAUCUACGCUGUGGCUUUUGUAAGGAUGGCACCAUUUCGACAUCCAAAAUAGCUUAAAACACGACAUUUUUGUUGAAUGAACCAAAAUAUCCUUGAAUAUAAACAAGCCAAUCACCACACUGGAUUUCUACCAAUGGCAAUCACAAGCGCAUCUAUGAACUGAGUAAGAAAUUGAUCAAAUAGUUGCCAAUCAUCAUUGGCCAGGCUCCAAUUGCUAGAGGAAGAUCAAUUACGCAGUCAUAUGAUGUAGAAACCCUUUGCAAAUAGGUUUCGUGGAAAUAAAAUGAGUAAAUGUUAAGGGUAAGAAUUUUCUGUGGAAUACAUUAAGAGCCAAGAGCGACGAAGACUGAAGAGAGAGGAAGUAGAGGUCAGU